AUUGAACGCUGGCGGCAUGCCUAACACAUGCAAGUCGAGCGGAUGAAGGAAGCUUUUGCCUCUAUUCAGCGGCGGACGGGCGGGUAAGUCAUACGAAUCUGCCCUGCAUUGGGGGAUAACGUCCCUAAACGGGCGCUAAUACCGCAUACGUCCAUAUUUUGAAAGGGGGGGAUCUUCGGACCUCACGCUUUUAGAUGUGCCUAGGUCGGCUUAGCUAGUUGGUUUGGUAAAGGCCUACCAAGACGACGUUCCUUAACUGCGCUGAGAAGAUGAUCCGUCACACUGGAACUGAGACACGGUCCAGACUCCUACGGGAGGCAGCAGUGGGGAAUAUUGGACAAUGGGCGAAAGCCUGAUCCAGCAAUGCCGCGUGUGUGAAGAAGGUCUUCGGAUUGUAAAGCUCUUUUAGUUGGGAGGAAGGGUAGUAAGUUAAUACCUUGCUGUUUUGACGUUACCAACAGAGAAAGCCCCGGCUAACUACGUG
rnacentral:rRNA from 1 species